UACGAAGGGGGCUAGCGUUGUUCGGAAUUACUGGGCGUAAAGCGCACGCAGGCGGAUCGAUAAGUCAGGGGUGAAAUCCCGGGGCUCAACCUCGGAAUUGCCUUUGAUACUGUCGAUCUCGAGUCCGGGAGAGGUGAGUGGAAUUCCUAGUGUAGAGGUGAAAUUCGUAGAUAUUAGGAAGAACACCAGUGGCGAAGGCGGCUCACUGGCCCGGUACCGACGCUCAGGUGCGAAAGCGUGGGGAGCAAACAGG
rnacentral:rRNA from 1 species